CCCUGACCUAUAUAGUAUUCUGCCAAGCUUUUAAUCUAGCCAUGCUGUCGAUCUACUAUUUUUUUUGCAGCGUUUAGAGUAUUCUCUGAUCUUACAAGGGCACAACCUCUCUAUGGGCUGUUUCCUGGCACUCUGUCUAUAGCUUCCUCCUGUCGUUGGAGAGUGCCACAGAAUUAUGUCUAGAUAUGAUGGAGAAUGGUGCACUGUGUAAAACUACCAAGCAUAUCCAGC